rnacentral:rRNA from 1 species
GUGCCAGCAGCCGCGGUAAUACCGGCAGCCCAAGUGAUGGCCGAUCUUAUUGGGCCUAAAGCGUCCGUAGCUGGCCGCGCAAGUCCAUCGGGAAAUCCAGUAGCUCAACUACUGGGCGUCCGGCGGAAACUACUAGGCUUGGGACCGGAAGGCUUGAGGGGUACGUCCGGGGUAGGAGUGAAAUCCCGUAAUCCCGCACGGACCACCGAUGGCGAAAGCACCUCGAGAAGACGGCUCCGACGGUGAGGGACGAAAGCCAGGGUCUCGAACCGGAUUAGAAACCCCAGUAGUCC